rnacentral:rRNA from 1 species
GAUGAACGCUGGCGGCGUGCCUAAUACAUGCAAGUCGAGCGAACAGACGAGGAGCUUGCUCCUCUGACGUUAGCGGCGGACGGGUGAGUAACACGUGGAUAACCUACCUAUAAGACUGGGAUAACUUCGGGAAACCGGAGCUAAUACCGGAUAAUAUAUUGAACCGCAUGGUUCAAUAGUGAAAGACGGUUUUGCUGUCACUUAUAGAUGGAUCCGCGCCGCAUUAGCUAGUUGGUAAGGUAACGGCUUACCAAGGCAACGAUGCGUAGCCGACCUGAGAGGGUGAUCGGCCACACUGGAACUGAGACACGGUCCAGACUCCGACGGGAGGCAGCAGGAGGGAAUCUUCCGCAAUGGGCGAAAGCUUGACGGAGCAACGCCGCGUGAGUGAUGAAGGUCUUCGGAUCGUAAAACUCUGUUAUUAGGGAAGAACAAAUGUGUAAGUAACUAUGCACGUCUUGACGGUACCGAAUCAGAAAGCCACGGCUAACUACGU